UACGUAGGUGGCAAGCGUUGUCCGGAAUUACUGGGUGUAAAGGGAGCGUAGGCGGGGGUACAAGUUGAAUGUCUAACCUAUCGGCUCAACCGAUAGUCGCGUUCAAAACUGUAUCUCUUGAGUGGAGUAGAGGCAGGCGGAAUUCCUAGUGUAGCGGUGAAAUGCGUAGAUAUUAGGAGGAACACCAGUGGCGAAGGCGGCCUGCUGGGCUCUAACUGACGCUGAGGCUCGAAAGCGUGGGUAGCAAACAGG
rnacentral:rRNA from 1 species